GACGAACGCUGGCGGCGUGCUUAACACAUGCAAGUCGAACGGAAAGGCCCUGCUUUUGUGGGGUGCUCGAGUGGCGAACGGGUGAGUAACACGUGAGUAACCUGCCCUUGACUUUCGGAUAACUUCAGGAAACAGGGGCUAAUACCGGAUAGGAGCUCCUGCUGCAUGGUGGGGGUUGGAAAGUUUCGGCGGUUGGGGAUGGACUCGCGGCUUAUCAGCUUGUUGGUGGGGUAGUGGCUUACCAAGGCUUUGACGGGUAGCCGGCCUGAGAGGGUGACCGGCCACAUUGGGACUGAGAUACGGCCCAGACUCCUACGGGAGGCAGCGGUGGGGAGUAUUGCACAAUGGGCGGAAGCCUGAUGCAGCAACGCCGCGUGCGGGAUGACGGCCUGCGGGUUGUAAACCGCUUUCGCCUGUGACGAAGCGUGAGUGACGGUAAUGGGUAAAGAAGCACCGGCUAACUACGUG
rnacentral:rRNA from 1 species